GACGAACGCUGGCGGCGUGCUUAACACAUGCAAGUCGAACGAGAAGAGAUGAGAAGCUUGCUUCUUAUUGAUUCGAGUGGCAAACGGGUGAGUAACGCGUAAGCAACCUGCCCUUCAGAUGGGGACAACAGCUGGAAACGGCUGCUAAUACCGAAUACGUUCUUUUGUCGCAUGGCAGAGGGAAGAAAGGGAGGCUCUUCGGAGCUUUCGCUGAAGGAGGGGCUUGCGUCUGAUUAGCUAGUUGGAGGGGUAACGGCCCACCAAGGCGACGAUCAGUAGCCGGUCUGAGAGGAUGAACGGCCACAUUGGGACUGAGACACGGCCCAGACUCCUACGGGAGGCAGCAGUGGGAAUCUUCCGCAAUGGACGAAAGUCUGACGGAGCAACGCCGCGUGAACGAUGACGGCCUCGGGUUGUAAAGUUCUGUUAUACGGACGAAUGGCGUAGCGGUCAA
rnacentral:rRNA from 1 species